GGGGCUGUAGCUCAUCUGGGAGAGCGCCGCCCUUGCAAGGCGGAGGUAGGCGGUUCGAGCCCGCUCAGCUCCA
rnacentral:tRNA from 1 species